rnacentral:lncRNA from 1 species
UCUUGUUUAGCCGCCGCUAUUCCAUUUUGAGGUAAAAUUCAAGUACCUUUCACAACCAAACUCUGCCCAAUUCUUCAUCUUAAUUUUCAUGUCUGUAGAUAAGAGUUGAGUUUGAGUUUAGCUAUUUUUAUAUCUUGUUUGUGCUUUUAAUCUUUAAAUUGAUAAUUUUUGAAAAAUGGUACUCUAUUUUUUCUAGUGAUUUAUUUUUGUGUCUAUUGCAACAUUAUGAUUUUUUUAUAAGUAAAGAAAUAAAUCUAUAAAAAAUAAAAUAAAUUAUAAUUAGUUUAUUAUAAUUUUUUUCAAACUUUCAUAAAAUAAUAAAACAAAACUAUGUGAUUUUUUAAAAAAUCAAAAAUAUAUUUGGACUAUCUCUCAGUCGAUCAUUAAUAUAUUAGACUUUGUUGUUGCAUAGUAUAUUAUUCAGUGGCGGAGUCAGAAAAAAAAUAUCAGGGUGGGCCACUAAAAUUAACUAUCGCAAAUUAGACAUAUAAUUGAAUUAUUUAAAUUUUUCGGGUUGGCCACUACACCAAUUUGCGGGAAUUUGGAUCAACCGAAACAUAAAACCGACAUAAAAUUGUAUAAAAUCUCGCAAAAUAGACCUAUAAUUGAAUUAUUUAAAUUUUCGGGUGGGCCACUACACCACUUUGUAGGAAUUUGAAUCAGCCAAAACAUAAAACCGACACAAAAUUGCAUAAAAUCUCGCAAAAUAGAUCUAUAAUCGUUGAUUUUUUAAUUUUUUCAGGUGGGCCGUGGCCCACCCCAGCCCAUGACGGGCUCCGCCACUGAUAUUAUUUAUAAAGUAUGUUGAUGAAUUAUUUUUUUUUUUUUUUGAAAAGAUGCAAAGAGCAUCACUUCCAUAUAUAUGAAAAAAAGAAGUUCAGGAUAGAAAAGCGGGAUUAGACCAAAACAUUCUCAAAAAGAGAUAAACCUAAAGUUGAGUAUUCCCAACCUGUUCCUAUAAUGUACUCCCCCUUGAUAAAGUCAAGGAUAGUAUUAGACCAAAACAUAUCUACAGAGAGAAAGUCUUGGUUGGGCACAAACCUAACACCUCAAUUUUGGGCACACACACAAAAGCAAUAAAAAGUUAAUAAAAAAUAAAAUUAUAAUAUAUCAAUUGAUAUGACUAAAUACUUUUUAUUUAAUUUUGUUAGUUUUAUGUGAGUAUGUGCCCAAAAUUGAGGUGUUGGGUAUGUGCCCAAGCAAGACUUUCACAUCUACAGAAGACAAAGUUUGACCAUAGUUAGCAAGUCCAUCAGUACAAUCAUUACCCCUAUAAAUAUGGGAAACAAAAAAUCUGAUAUUUUUGAUUUUAUAUGAAAAGUUCUGCCACCUAUUUUUUAGUGCCCAAGCCACCACGUGAUGAAAAAAUAAAGUAGGUUGCAAUCAAUGUUUUUGACCUUCUAUUUUAUUUGUCAAAAUGAAGAGCAUGAAGAAAUCUUUUAAAGAAAAAAUAACUCGAAAAAUUAACGUUUUUUACUUUUCAUUUUUUUUACGGACAACAAAAUAUUUUAGAUGCUGAACAAAAUGUUAAACUUGUCUUCAAAAAAUAUUUACUUCUCUUCUUUUUCUUCGAAACACCGGUUAGAUUGCUACUCAAAUUUUUUAAUCAGCAAAAUCACCUACAUAAGCAAAAAGAACAGUAGUUGUUUCAAAAGAUAAUAUAGUAGAGUACUGAAAUGUAAGCAAGAAAGUUUGAAAAUUAAUUAUUACAUAUAGUCAUUUUCCAUUCUACCAUAUUAUGCAUCCUGAAAGAUAAGAACUUAAACAAAAAGAAUAAUAUUUAUUCAUAAUAUUAGAGAAUUUGAAAUUUAUGCAUACCAAUGGUCGUUUCCAUUGAACAUCAAUGUCCUGUAGAAGAAAAAAAGAUGGAAGUGAGUUUAGAAAUAAAGGAGCAAGUGAGUUUAGGCUGGAAUAGGGUUGGGAAUAGGCCAGGCCAGGCCAGGCUUUGAUAGGCCUGAGCCUGGCCUACGAAAAAAUUUGCAAGCCUGAGCCUGGUAUAUGGCCUUUCAUAGGCCUAUUUAUUUGGCCUGGCCUGAAAGCCUAUUUACAGGCCUACUUACUAUUAAAGUUACUAAACAUUCCAUUUUAUCUACUUUUAAAUAGGCUUAAUAGGCCUCAAAGUCUAUUUUAGUGUAACACUUGUCUAUCACUACUAUAAGGCCUUAAAAGUCUAUUUCACUAUAAAGCUUUAAAGCCUAUUUAAAAAGUCCACUAUGAAGCCUAACAUGCAUAAACAGGCCGGCGUAUUAGGCUUCAUAGGCUUUUUUGAUAGCCUAAGCCUGACCUAUUUACUUAAAUAGGCUUUUCAAAAAGCCUAAGCCUAGCCAUUUUAAUAAACAGGCCAGAUCAGGCCAGGCUUAAACAGGCCAGGCCAUAGGCCCCUGUAGGUCGGCAUGGCCUAUUCCCAACCCUAGGUUGGAAUCUAAAUUAACUGACACAUUGGUACUUUACGGACAUCUUUACAUUGCGUAAUGAAAAUAACGGCACACGUCACAAAUACAAUGAUAGAAAAUGAUUCAAGAAUUAAUUGUACCGUUUUAAUUUUUUAGAGAUUAAAUACGAUCUUUUUAUUUUUUGAGGACUAAUUUAACCACAGAGAUUUUGUCAUGGAUCAAAAUGAAUAUUUUACUCUUUAAUUAAAUUAUCAAUACAUUUUUGUCAAAUAAUUAAAAAUCAUAAUUAUUUAGCAAACUUAACCAAAAAAAAAUAAUUAGAUAUUAAUACAUAACAUAUUAUCUCAUUAUGUGGGAUACAACUGUAGGCAUCUAGAUGUUUCUUCUGAGUGGAUAACUCUCGGUUACGUGUUUAAAACCUUCCUCACUCCCUGCUAUAUAUACACCCUCUCUUUCACACACAGGGAUAUGAAUUGCAAACCCUCUUGUUUAGCCGCCGCUAUUCCAGUUUGAGCAGAAAUACAAGUACCUUUCACAACCCAACUCUGGCCAAUUCUUCAUCUUAAUGUACCAAAAGCUAGUCUUCAUAUUCACUUCAUCACAUUUAAUCAGAUCCCAUAUAUUCCACACAAUCAACCUACAUAUUUCUAUAUUAAUUUUCUUCUUUGUCCAUUUCAUCACCUAAUUCUCUUUGUGAUUUUAUGAUAGAGGGAUCAAUGAGCACUUUAAAUACUUGAAUGCCGCAUUGGUGCAUGUGAUUAAGAUCUGAUGCAACAGAUCUAUGAGGUUUAUAUUAUUUCACCGAUUAUGAUUUCUUUAACUAAUUAUGUCACAAACCAACAGUGACAAAUUUAGUUAAAGAAAUCAUACUCAGUGGAAUAAUUUAAUCCUCAAAGAUCUUUGUAGCAGUGACAUACUUAUGCCUAUAAAAGUGAUCCAAAUAGGUUUGUAUUAUCAAAACUAUAAGAUCUUCAUAUCUACAUAACAUUCAAAUAAAGCUUCGAUGCUUCUUCUAGUAGAUUGAAGUGUGGGUCUCUUAUGUUGUAUACAAAUAAAUCUUGUUGGAUCUGAUGGUAGAUUGCAUCAUAUAACGAUAUUAUGUAUUUUAAUAUUUCUGAUUUUCAUGAUUAAUUAUGUUGUAAUUUAUGCAUAGUAAUGUUUUAUGCAUUUAUUUAUGAUUUUUGAUAUUAAUAAAUUCUCAAAUAUUAAGGAGCUCAAUAGAUUAUCUCAACGUAUAUAUUAUAUUUUAUGAGUUAUUUUUUUAACGGUAAUGAUUACCUCUCCGUAGUAAAAAAAAAAAAGAGCUCAUUACGGCUUGAAUCAUAUAAGCUUUUGGACCUAAGUGAUUUGAGAUUUGGGCACAUAACAACUUCAUCACCUUCUAUUUAUUCCUAAGUCAGGAGCAACUACGGGAUAGUAACGACAUCACAAAUAGGUUGGCACCUCGAAGAACCUCCAUCCUCAACCCUCAAACUAAAAUCAAAUUUUAUUAAAAAAAAAAGGAAAAAUUACACAAGAGAGGGGACUAGGUCAAAACCCUCAAAACUUAAAGAAGAAAAAAAUCAUAAACAGCUUCAACACCUCACUUUUAUGCAAUAAAUAAAUAAGAGUUUGUACUUUUUUUUAGAUAUAUUGUUGCACUUUAUUAUUUGCAAUUUCAGUGUAGAUUGAAAAUCCUUUGUAAUUUUCAUGUCUGUAGAUAAGAGUUGGGUUUGAAUUUAGCUAUUUUUAUAACUUGUUUGUGCUUUUGAUCUGUAAAUUGAUAAUUUUUCAGAAAUGUUACUCUAUUUUUCUAGUGAUAUAUUUUUGUUUCUAUUGCC